UUGCGCAGUAUAGGUGGGAGGCAAAGAAUAUAUGUUUGCGGAUGUAUAUGAGCCAUUAGUGAGAUACCACUCUGAUUAAACUAGAAUUCUAAUAUUGAUUGCCAUGAGCUGGCCAAUAAACAGUUUCAGGUGGGCAGUUUGACUGGGGCGGUCGCCUCCUAAAAAGUAACGGAGGCGUGCAAAGGUUUCCUCAGGCUGGUCGGAAAUCAGUCGUAGAGUAUAAAGGCAUAAGGAAGCUU
rnacentral:rRNA from 1 species